UGGUGGGUAGUUUGACUGGGGCGGUCUCCUCCUAAAGAGUAACGGAGGAGCACGAAGGUUGGCUAAUCCUGGUCGGACAUCAGGAGGUUAGUGCAAUGGCAUAAGCCAGCUUGACUGCGAGCGUGACGGCGCGAGCAGGUGCGAAAGCAGGUCAUAGUGAUCCGGUGGUUCUGAAUGGAAGGGCCAUCGCUCAACGGAUAAAAGGUACUCCGGGGAUAACAGGCUGAUACCGCCCAAGAGUUCAUAUCGACGGCGGUGUUUGGCACCUCGAUGUCGGCUCAUCACAUCCUGGGGCUGAAGUAGGUCCCAAGGGUAUGGCUGUUCGCCAUUUAAAGUGGUACGCGAGCUGGGUUUAGA
rnacentral:rRNA from 1 species